rnacentral:lncRNA from 1 species
AGCUUCUCCAAGCUUCUCUAGCCGCUUCCAUCAGCUCCGGCCUCACCCCAUGGUUGAUCACCUGAAAAUAGGACCAUGCAUGCGUAUAAACCGAAACAAAAUAGGUCAGUAUAUUCUUAUACUCAAAACUGAAUUUGCUGCAAUAAAUAUGAAAACUCAUGAACAUUUUAAUUAGUUAAAAAUACGCAUUAAAACAAAAUUAAUUACAUAAAGAAUAUUUAUUAAUUUUAACUAAAAUUAUUGAUUAUUUAUAUUAACAUAUCAAAUUUAACGGAGUAACAAAAAAUUGUAAAAUCAAGUUCAAUCAAAAGCAUUGUUUUUACUCGAGGAAACCCAUAAAUAAAAAAAAACCAACUGAACCACGAACCGAACAUCAAAGGCCAUUUUUACCUGGAAGAAACCAAAUUCACGGCAUGCCUCCGACAUCCUCUCCCUCUCGUCUUCGUUCCCGGAGAAGAGGCUGUUUAGGUCUACGACUGGGAUAUUGAUGGCGGCAGUUUGAGGUUGGUGGUUGAUGAUGAUAGUUUGAUCAGGGCGUUCAGACGGCGGCUUAAUGUAACGGUCGGGGACGGUAGCAAGGUUGCUCUCGGCUAGGGACUGCACUCGGACGGUUGGUUCUGGCCACUUUUCUCCGAGGCCUUUCUUGGUAUUUUCUUGGUCGCUCAUAGUGUUGAGGCCGUUCUCGUCCGUGGUAUCUUCCUUGAUCAUAAUCUCGUUUUGGUGGUUCAUGUUUUCUGUUUAGGCUUAUUGAUCUUGCUCUAGUUCUUGUAAUAUUGUUUAUGAGAAGUAUUGAAAGUAGUGUUAUCUAUAUAUAGGGUGAUUAUAUGGUUAGAGACAAAGAAAGAGAAAGCCAUAAGGAGAAGGAAACGUGAUUAACAAAUAUAUAAUAAAAAAUAUUUGGAAUUUUUUGCAUGUGGUUUUAUUAAUUAGCCAUGUUAGCUAUCUUUCUUUUUGUAGAAAGUAACAGAUGAAACCGUAACCGAUGAGGGAAAACCGAAAUCAUAGCCGACGAGAGAAUCCAGAGUCUGGCACAUAGGAUUGCGGCUAUAUGUGUUUCUUCAUUUAUAAAACGUGUUUAACAUGCUAUUAAAUGUUGUCUAAUAGGUAUAGAAAGAUUGAAAAUGAUGUGGAACGAUUCCAACUAAUAUAUACAUCCACAUUGUUUGUUUGGAGUUCUUUGUAUGGUUACUGUUUGUGAAACUUGUAGAUAUUUUACCAUUAAAAACCGGCUGUUGUUUACAAUAGUUUCUUUCAACUUCUCUUAAUGUAAACUAAGAUCAGUUUAUUAACUGUAUUGUAUGAGAAUGUUGGCAUGAACCUCGAAAUAUUUAGUGACUUGACAUUCUUUAUUAAAACUGAAAAGGGGAGAUAUUCAAUUCAUAAUUUUAAUAUAAUCCAAUCAAAAUUCAGAAAAUAAUUAAAAAACUUAUGUGUUAAAAUCCAACAUUGUUGUAUUUUAUAUUUGUAAGUAGGAUUAAGAGAUUUUAAAGUUGAAUGGUAUUCAAUUAAAGUUUCAACUACAUUUUCAUUAAUAAUCAACAUAAAAUAUUUGUAUAUUAUGUUACUUAAAAUAAAUAUCAGUGGAUUUACUGAAUGAAUUAUCUAAAAAAAAAUCUAAAGUAUAUGCAGAAAUUUUAAUUUUUUGAAAAAUUCUUAUAAUAACAUUAAAUUCUAAAUUUUGAAGACUGUAAAACCUAGAGAAUGAACUAUUAGAAAUUCAUGAUGGGAUGUGACUUCACAUUUUGGAAGAAUGUUGACCUUUAACUUUCAUAUAUAUCUCAGAAUUGUGCUAAUUUUAAUAAUCUCUAUUAUGUGUAAAAUGAAUUUUUACUUCAGAUAUCAAAGUGUUCUUAAUAGUUCAAAACUUAGGAAAAUUGUGCGCAUGAAUCGGACGCACUGCAGAUUGGUGUUAUGCGUUCCUGGCUUUCUUACUACUUUUGGCUUUGUUAAUCAUUCUAAUAAACAUUUCUAUUUUCUUUAUUUUAUUGCUUUGGCUUUGUCAAUUUCGCUGACCAAUUCCAUUUUCUCCAUAGGAUGGAAUUCUCACUCCCGUCACGAACACCAAAGUGGGAAGAGUUCUUCAAAUAACCAUUCCGCACGCCAUAGUCAACCAUACCCUGACGAGCCCCCUAGAUUGUUUCAUGGUAAAAAGUAUUUUUUUUUCCUUCAACUGACGUUUACCCUGACGUCCCUCCUAAAUAAAGUUGAUAUGAACUUAUUAAACUGAGUGUUGCCGGAGAAGAGGCUGUUUAGGUCUACGACUGGGAUAUUGAUGGCGGCAGUUUGAGGUUGGUGGUUGAUGAUGAUAGUUUGAUCAGGGCGUUCAGACGGCGGCUUAAUGUAACGGUCGGGGACGGUAGCAAGGUUGCUCUCGGCUAGGGACUGCACUCGGACGGUUGGUUCUGGCCACUUUUCUCCGAGGCCUUUCUUGGUAUUUUCUUGGUCGCUCAUAGUGUUGAGGCCGUUCUCGUCCGUGGUAUCUUCCUUGAUCAUAAUCUCGUUUUGGUGGUUCAUGUUUUCUGUUUAGGCUUAUUGAUCUUGCUCUAGUUCUUGUAAUAUUGUUUAUGAGAAGUAUUGAAAGUAGUGUUAUCUAUAUAUAGGGUGAUUAUAUGGUUAGAGACAAAGAA